AAUGACGGUACCUGACUAAGAAGCCCCGGCUAACUACGUGCCAGCAGCCGCGGUAAUACGUAGGGGGCAAGCGUUAUCCGGAUUUACUGGGUGUAAAGGGAGCGUAGACGGCAUGGCAAGCCAGAUGUGAAAGCCCGGGGCUCAACCCCGGGACUGCAUUUGGAACUGUCAGGCUAGAGUGUCGGAGAGGAAAGCGGAAUUCCUAGUGUAGCGGUGAAAUGCGUAGAUAUUAGGAGGAACACCAGUGGCGAAGGCGGCUUUCUGGACGAUGACUGACGUUGAGGCUCGAAAGCGUGGGGAGCAAACAGGAUUAGAUACCCUGGUAGUC
rnacentral:rRNA from 1 species